CUGUGUCAGUGAUCUGCAGAGCCGGGGCUGCACACAGAGGGAAGACACCCAGGCAGCCGACUGUUAUCAGCACUGAACAGAACAGAGCACCACACCGGUGACAUCUGACAACACCCCUGCUUCCAGGAAUCUUGGCCCACCACCGUUCCUAGGGUGGAACUCUGCCUCCAGCCUUGGCUCUACUCAGAGACCAAGGCAAAGAGCAAACUCCUGCUGCCUCUCGGCCAGCUCCAGCUCCUUCAGAGCUGCCUCUACACACACCUUUGCAUAACAGAACGGUCAGUUCAAGUGCAUGAGCCAAAGCCCAUUGAAAUCAAUGAGAGUCUUUCUAGUAUCUUCAAUGGGUUUUGGAUCUGGCCCUCCAUUGAACAGACAGCACAAGGAAUGACAAGAGACCCUGGUGGAUGAAAGUAGGGGCAGGGAGAGAAAACGCUCAAAUGUUUUCUCAUUCUUAUGGCUGCACUGCAAGGGUCAAAGAACCCCGAGAAGUGCCGUCAGCCACGGCUCUCUCCUCCUGGCUCCCCUGCAGGGGCAGUCCCCAGCUCCUGUGGUUGGCACGAACACCUUUUUCCUGCAAGAGGCUAAGAAGAUCAUCCCCCCAUUUGUUUUUCACUCUCUGCUCCCAGGAGUCAAGCAAGAAUCCAAGCAACUGGGGAGGGGGGGAGUAAACAGCUUUAUGCUGAUUCCUGUGAAAUUUUCUGGGCUAUAAGAAGAUGUAAAUUAUGUGUAAGAUUCUUCACAGCUGGUGGCAAGUGAGGGAUAAUCAGCUAAUAAGUCCAACCAGGGGCUGCUGCGCACGUUUGUGCUUUGCCAGAAUGAGUUUUUAAAAAUACAAUCAAGUGCUCACCAUCAGCAAGGCCAAACACUGAGCUACAUGAGGGGCUUGGAGGACCAACCCUCAGCCAAACCCUGAGGGGGAAAUAGCUUGUAAAGUGGAACCACUGGUCCUAGUCGCAGGGGUUUAAUGAACUGAGCAGCAUGCAAGGCCUCAUGGCAAGAACUGAGGGCAGGGAAAACUCUUGCUGUCUCUCCACAUAGGCUCCUGGCUACUCAAGGCAAUGCUUUUGCCUCUUCCAGCAAGCUGCAGUGCUGGGUGCAUGUGAUGCCUUACCAAGAGGAGUUAGGAGGGACGAAGACCAGAGCAAGGCUUUUGAAUCCUGGGAAGACCCAACUGCUGUGUCUGGUUUGUUUGCAAACGGGAAUGUUUGCAGCUAUGGAUCAUUCAUGAUUAUUAUUGAUUACUGCAGAUGACCGGGAGUGAAUGAUACUGGCAAGGCAGGGGGUGUCCCGGGACUGCUACUAAUUACAAUAAUCAUCAUCAUCUGACAGUUAAUUUGUGCUCUAUUUGUGGUAUCCUCCCUUUUUAAAAGUCGAUUGUAACCUCCAUCUGGGGAUGGAUCAAAUGAUGAUUCCUGUUCUGUUCAUUCCCUCUGAAGCAUCUGGCACUGGCCAAUGCUGGAGGACAGGAUACUGGGCUAGAUGACCUUUGGUCUGAUCUAGUGUGGCCGUUCUUAUGGGCUCCAGACCAAACCAUUUCUUUUUUGGUGUUUAGAGGGAUGAAAUAUUUUGUUCUAAAGGUGUGGGUGAUAUCACAGCAUCGAGGCAAAAUACUUCCUUGCAUUGGCAACCCUGCAGGGCAGCAAGGUGACUCUAGAUACCCAUUACCUCACACCUGCUCUUGUGAUUCUACCUCACUCACUUGUCCCUUUGCAUCAUAGCAACAGGGGGCGAAGACCCUAUUUUCUUUCCUGGGAGACAGACACAGCUGCUCAAGGCCUCCAUUCCCCAUUGCAGUACUGGGAUCAGCUCUGGACAGCAGCAUCCAACCAACCGAGCAAGAAUGCAGAAUAGGACGCAGAGAAACCAGUGUGCUAGCCAACAAGAUUAAAUGAGAGGAGAGAAAUUAAGGCGGCUUAUUAAACUUCUGUAGACACCGUGAAAGAAAAUCCCACUAGAACAGAUACUUGAACACAUCAUUAAAAGUCUUCUAUGUUGCAGCAUUCACCGUCCCCUGGGUUUACUGGAACACGGAGAAUUGUCCAAAUGUGCUUAAGAGACAGUUACUAUAGACCUACAAGCAGGUCUACCAAGUGGUAGAAAAGGAAUGGAUAAACCUGAGAAGUUGCUGGCUUCCAGUCUCUUGUCCUGACCACUAAUGAAGAGGAGCAUGACAUAAAUAUACAGACUGAUCUGUGUGUCUGAUCUCAUUGCAUCAAGACUGUAAUUACACAAAACUCCCUUACCUAGGCCCUGAUUCAGCAAAACACAUAGGAACAACGUGUAAUCGUCAUUGAAGUUAACAACACUUAAGCAUGUGCUAAAUGCUUUGCUGCAAUGGAUCCCAAGUUUGGCCCAUUUUGCCUCCAUGUGACAAAAUGACCCUUCGAACUUCAUGUCCAAGUGUGUACUAGAUGGCAAGGGGGAAAUAAAACAAACAAAGCACCCAAACCAUGGUCUUACCAUUGUCAUCAACUACUCUAGUUUGCUCUUUGUAGCAGUCCACUGGUAACCCUAUGAUCUCUACCUCUACAAAUGGAUCUAUAAUCUGGAAAAGAGAAAGGAAAGAAUAUUUAAAAAAAUGAAAAAGAUAGAAAUCAAGUAAUAUCCUUAGCUUCACCACACAGGCAUCACACGCUAUUGCAGAUGAAACAG